rfam:Actinobacteria bacterium RBG_19FT_COMBO_36_27 rbg_19ft_combo_scaffold_7895, whole genome shotgun sequence.
AAUUAAAUUAAUAAGAGCAUAUGGUGGAUGCCUUGGCGAUAAAGGGCGAUGAAGGACGUGGUAGGCUGCGAUAAGCUUCGGUGAGCCGUCAAACAGGCUUCGACCCGGAGAUUUCCGAAUGGGGAAACCUAUUAUCCUUAAUCGGAUAAUAUUGCUGCCUGAAUACAUAGGGCAGUAAAGUGGACCAGGUGAACUGAACCAUCUAAGUAACCUGAGGAAAAGAAACCAAUUUAGAGAUUACCUUAGUAGCGGCGAGCGAACGGGUAACAGCCCAAACCUGUUGGAUGUUAAAGCCCACGAGCGUUGUUCAACAGGGGUUGUAGGAAUUGUGAUGUAUAGUUGUGGAUGUACAUGAGAGUCAAAAAAUUAUUUAAUAGUGGAACAGCCUGGAAAGGCUGGCAAUAGACGGUAAAAGCCCAGUACACGAAAUUAAAUAAUCUCUCACAUAGUUUCCUGAGUACAACGGAACACGUGAAAUUCCGUUGGAAUCUGCGAGGACCAACUCGUAAGGCUAAAUACUUUUAUCGACCGAUAGUGAACUAGUACCGUGAGGGAAAGGUGAAAAGUACCCCGGAAGGGGAGUGAAAUAGAACCUGAAACCAU